rnacentral:rRNA from 1 species
CGGACGGGUGAGUAACGCGUGGGGAACCUGCCCUGUACCGGGGGAUAGCAGCCGGAAACGGCUGAUAAUACCGCAUAAGCGCACGAAUGUCGCAUGACAUGGUGUGAAAAACUCCGGUGGUAUAGGAUGGACCCGCGUCUGAUUAGCCAGUUGGUGGGGUAAAAGCCUACCAAAGCGAAGAUCAGUAGCCGAGUUGAGAGACUGACCGGCCACAUUGGGACUGAGACACGGCCCAGACUCCUACGGGAGGCAGCAGGC